GAUGAAGAACGUAGCGAAAUGCGAUUCGUAAUGUGAAUUGCAGAAUUCAGUGAAUCAUCGAAUCUUUGAACGCAUAUUGCGCUCUCUGGUAUUCCGGAGAGCAUGCUUGUUUGAGUAUCAGUAAACACCUCAACUUCCAUAUCUUUUUUGAAAUGGGAGUUGGACUUGAGUGAUCCCAACGCUUUUCCUCACCGAAAAGUGGCGGGUUACUUGAAAUGCAGGUGCAGCUGGACUUUUCUCUGAGCUAUAAGCAUAUCUAUUUAGUCUGCCUAAAAAACAGAUUAUUACCUUUGCUGCAGCUAACAUAAAGGAGAUUAGUUCUUGUGCUGACUGAUGCAGGAUUCACAAAGACAGGCUUCGGCCGACUUUGUAAACUCGAUCUCAAAUCAAGUAAGACUACCCGCUGAACUUAAGCAUAUCAAUAAGCGGAGGA
rnacentral:misc_RNA from 1 species